rnacentral:rRNA from 1 species
CCUACGGGAGGCUGCAGUGAGGAAUAUUGGUCAAUGGACGAGAGUCUGAACCAGCCACGUAGCGUGAAGGAUGACGGCCCUCUGGUCUGUAAACUUCUUUUAUAUGGGAAUAAAAUGUUCCACGUGUGGGAUUUUGUAUGUACCAUAUGAAUAAGGAUCGGCUAACGACGUGCCAGAACCCGCGGUAAUACGGAGGGUCCGAGCGUUGUCCGGAUUUAUUGGGUUUAAAGGGAGAGGAGGUGGAUUGUUAAGUCAGUUGUGAAAGUUUGCGGAUCAACCGUAGAAUUGCAGUUGAAACUGGCAGUCUUGAGUACAGUAGAGGGGGGCGGAAUUCGUGGUGUAGCGGUGAAAUGCGUAGAUAUCACGAAGAACACCGAUUGCGAAGGCAGUUCACUGGACUGCAACUGACACUGAGGCUCGAAAGUGUGGGUAUCAAACAGGAUUAGAUACCCCAGUAGUC